rnacentral:misc_RNA from 1 species
CCGAGUUUACAACUCCCAAACCCAUGUGAAUUUACCUUUACGUUCCCUCGGCGGUGUCCUCUCCCUCACGGGGGAGUCCCGCCAGAGGACCAAACCAAACCCUGAAUUUUAUUAGUAUUAUUCUGAGUGAUUUAAACAAUAAAUCA